GUGAGAAUUACUGGAAGGUCAUCCUUAAGUAUUUGAGAAAUACUAAGGAUUGGUGACUCGAUUAUGGAGAAUCUGACUUAAAAUUUAUGGAGUAUGACUUUAAUUUUUAGUUAGACAUAAUAAUAGUAAGAAUGUGUCAGAAUACAUCCUUAUCCUAAAUAAUGGAGCAAUCUACUGAAAAGAUUCCAAGCAAAAAAAUAUAACCAAAUUCAAAUUAUGAGGCA
rnacentral:lncRNA from 1 species